UACGUAGGGCGCAAGCGUUGUCCGGAAUUAUUGGGCAUAAAGAGCUCGUAGGCGGUUUGUCGCGUCUGCUGUGAAAACCUAAGGCUCAACCUUGGGCUUGCAGUGGGUACGGGCAGACUAGAGUGCGGUAGGGGUGACUGGAAUUCCUGGUGUAGCGGUGGAAUGCGCAGAUAUCAGGAGGAACACCGAUGGCGAAGGCAGGUCACUGGGCCGCAACUGACGCUGAGGAGCGAAAGCGUGGGGAGCGAACAGG
rnacentral:rRNA from 1 species